rnacentral:tRNA from 1 species
AAUGAAGUGCCUGAAAAAUUCGACAAAGGAAUAUCUUGAUAGGAUAUAUCAUGUAGUUAUACUACCUUCAUUA